AUUUUUUUAACCCAAAUUUGAGGAUGUAGGUCAAGCUGAACCAAAGGCAUUUACAUCAAAUUAGGAAUUUGUUGGUCAAGCACCUGCUGUACAUAGAACAACAAUCCAUUACAGCUUUGACUAUGCCGAGCAGGUCUUCUACCCAUACUAGGCACAGCAAGAGCAAUCCUUUGUGGAUUGAUGACCUUGGCAAACUGGUUAUAUUCUUUGACUGGUUGGAGUACACCAAGUGACCCCUAAAGUCCAUUUCAAACUUGAGGAAAUAUCAUCACUUCAGAACUUCAGCUGACCACCCAGUGAGUGAAUUCAUGAGAGAGCAUGCCAAGGACAGUGAGAUUGAAGUUAAAAUUGACAAGCCCACAACAAUGGCUUUUCCAUGGAGAGUACCCUGAACGCAUCCAACUAAAAGGACUUAAUGCAAAAAGUCUCUGAUCCCUUAAAUAAGUGAAAAAACUAAUAUACGUAUAUGUGAUCUUUAUAAACUAAAUAUAAGAUUUGAGAAUGAGCCCGCUACUGAGCUGAUGAAAACAUGUAUCAAUUUUCUAUUGACAAUUAUUUCUUCAAUAGAAACAUGUUCAUGUGAAAUGAAGCGACCAGUGAUUUUGAGUGAAAAACUGUGGUUUUAGCAAAUGCGUGAUAGAAGGGUGCUACACCCUGUCUUUUGUUGGUAGAGCCCCUCUGCCAUAAUGGAGACCACUAUAUGAUUAUUAUUAAUACAAACUUAAAACAA